rnacentral:tRNA from 1 species
GCUCUCAUAGUUUAAUGGACAAAACAAAGGUUUCCGGAACCUUAGAUGGGGGUUCGAUUCCCUCUGAGAGCACAA